ACAUGCAAGUCGAACGGCAGCACGGGGGCAACCCUGGUGGCGAGUGGCGAACGGGUGAGUAACACAUCGGAACGUACCCUAUCGUGGGGGAUAACCAGUCGAAAGAUUGGCUAAUACCGCAUGAUCUGGAGACAGCAAAGCAGGGGACCGGAAACGGCCUUGCGCGAUUGGAGCGGCCGAUGUCCGAUUAGCUAGUUGGUGGGGUAAAGGCUCACCAAGGCUUCGAUCGGUAGCUGGUCUGAGAGGAUGAUCAGCCACACUGGGACUGAGACACGGCCCAGACUCCUACGGGAGGCAGCAGUGGGGAAUUUUGGACAAUGGGGGCAACCCUGAUCCAGCCAUGCCGCGUGAGUGAAGAAGGCCUUCGGGUUGUAAAGCUCUUUCGGUGGGAACGAAACGGUUACAGCUAAUACCUGUGACUACUGACGGUACUCAUAGAAGAAGCACCGGCUAACUACGUGCCAGCAGCCGCGGUAAUACGUAGGGUGCGAGCGUUAAUCCGAAUUACUGGGCGUAAAGCGUGCGCAGGCGGUCUCGUAAGCUGGGUGUGAAAGCCCCGGGCUUAACCUGGGAAUGGCAUUCAGGACUGCGAGGCUCGAGUGUGGCA
rnacentral:rRNA from 1 species